UCAGGCUGAGAUUUUCCAUGCAGUGUUUUUUAGGAGAUGAAUUUCGGGCCAAGCUGUUCCCAAAAUGAGACAAGGUUAAGAAAAAAUGGUAACUUUUGCUGCUGAUUUAAAAAACAAAAACAAAAGUAUUUGCAGAGAUAUAUUUCUAAGACUCCACCCCUGCAAAAAUCUUCCUAACUGCGGCCAAAUUAUAGAAUUGUGGGAAAACCGAACAUACUUGGUGGUGAUUUAGUCAAAGCUAGCAGGUAAACCUGCGUGUGUUCAGCAUGCUGGUGCCUGGGGCGGAGGAGGCUGCUCUGUGCUUACAGCCGCUGCGGCGCGGCCAGGACAGCGAGCGGAGCCCAGGAAGCCGGUCGCCGCCUGCCCCAUGCCUUUGGAGGCGUGAAGAAGAGAGAAGAGUUGGAUCUGGGGAUGACAAUGCUAUAUUGGGACAACAGCAACAAAGCACUGCAGCUCAAACUUGUUACUUGUCUCAGACUGCUUUCCCUGCGUGUGCACAGCACCGCGUGUGCAUCCCCGGGUGUAGACUCCAUCAGCCUGGCUUGGAGCACCAAGCCCUGCACGGCACCAAAGGCUAAGGGCUGUCCGGCCCUUCGUGCACGGGAUGAAGCCCUCGCCUCCCGACAGCAUGACCAUCUCGUGGUGGAGGAGUAACUUGCGGUGCUCUUGUCCCUCUCUAUUAUUUCCUUCGCUGAGCCUGGUUUGUCUCCUCACCUCUCACCUGGGCCCUUGUCUAUUGAUUUCUGCUCUUGUUGUUUUCUGCGCUCCAAGAUGCCGUCUAUUUUUGUUGCCUUUGUGUUCCCUCUACCCUCGCUGCAUGCUGCUCUCUGCUGUCCCUUAUUCUCACAGCAUCUCUUCCUUUCAUGUUCCAAAUGACUGCUCUUUCCUCUUCAGAAAUACCUCCUAAAACCACACUCCUCUUAGAUCAAAGAGUGAAAUAAAGAUGAGCUGGCUUGACUGGGAGAAUCUGCAAAAAUAUUCUUCUUCAGCUGAUGAAAGCAGCUUGUCCUGGGCACGAAUAUUUAGGAAUAGCUGGAUACAUUCAAAGGCAGCAAUGAUGGCUUUCUCACAGGUUUCCUGGGUUGCUCCAGUGCUGCCAUCUCCUGCGGUCCUUGGGUCAGGCCCUAGCAUGAGCGUGGUGGAGGGCCUUACUCUGCCUCUCCUGCUCCUGUUGGGCAAUUUGCGUUCCUCAUCCUGCUUUUCUGUCCUGGUCCUUGCUCGUAUCAUCCUUGCCGUGACUGUGGCCCUGCACCGGCUCUGAUGUUGCCUCUUUCUUGCCUUUGACCCUUUCUGUUGCUCAUUUUCCUUGGAAAUGGCCAUGGCUCUGCCCUUCUCUGACCAAGUGGAUCACGUGGACCUUCUGCCUCGUCCUUGUCUCUGGGGUCUCCCUGUAACCUCUCUUUCCUGAGGUCCUGUUCUCCUGACUGUGGCCCUGGCUCACCAGGCUUGACUGCCCCUGCCUGGGUUGCAAGACACACACUGCACGCAUUGCAUGGGGGCCACAAGGAGAGGCAGUGCACCGAUGCCGGAGCUCUAUUCACACAACGUCUUCUUUGGAAAAAAAAACAGAGAAUUAAUGUAUGUAACAUUGUUAAUAAUGCAAGUUUGCCUGUUGUGAACCUGAUUUUAAUAAUCUGUGUGCUUUGUUUUUUUCCUGUUUCUUGAAUAAAGUAUUUGC